rnacentral:rRNA from 1 species
GACGAACGCUGGCGGCGUGCUUAACACAUGCAAGUCGAACGGACCCUUUGGGGUUAGUGGCGAACGGGUGAGUAACACGUGGGUGAUCUGCCCUGCACUUUGGGAUAAGCCUGGGAAACUGGGUCUAAUACCGGAUAGGACUACGCACUGCAUGGUGUGUGGUGGAAAGCUUUUGCGGUGUGGGAUGGGCCCGCGGCCUAUCAGCUUGUUGGUGGGGUGAUGGCCUACCAAGGCGACGACGGGUAGCCGGCCUGAGAGGGUGACCGGCCACACUGGGACUGAGAUACGGCCCAGACUCCUACGGGAGGCAGCAGUGGGGAAUAUUGCACAAUGGGCGCAAGCCUGAUGCAGCGACGCCGCGUGAGGGAUGACGGCCUUCGGGUUGUAAACCUCUUUCGCCAGGGACGAAGCGCAAGUGACGGUACCUGGAGAAGAAGGACCGGCCAACUACGUGCCAGCAGCCGCGGUAAUACGUAGGGUCCGAGCGUUGUCCGGAAUUACUGGGCGUAAAGAGCUCGUAGGUGGAUUGUCGCGUUGUUCGUGAAAACUCACAGCUUAACUGUGGGCGUGCGGGCGAUACGGGCAGACUGGAGUACUGCAGGGGAGACUGGAAUUCCUGGUGUAGCGGUGGAAUGCGCAGAUAUCAGGAGGAACACCGGUGGCGAAGGCGGGUCUCUGGGCAGUAACUGACGCUGAGGAGCGAAAGCGUGGGGAGCGAACAGGAUUAGAUACCCUGGUAGUCCACGCCGUAAACGGUGGGUACUAGGUGUGGGUUUCCUUCCUUGGGAUCCGUGCCGUAGCUAACGCAUUAAGUACCCCGCCUGGGGAGUACGGCCGCAAGGCUAAAACUCAAAGGAAUUGACGGGGGCCCGCACAAGCGGCGGAGCAUGUGGAUUAAUUCGAUGCAACGCGAAGAACCUUACCUGGGUUUGACAUGCACAGGACGCCGGCAGAGAUGUCGGUUCCCUUGUAGCCUGUGUGCAGGUGGUGCAUGGCUGUCGUCAGCUCGUGUCGUGAGAUGUUGGGUUAAGUCCCGCAACGAGCGCAACCCUUGUCUCAUGUUGCCAGCACGUUAUGGUGGGGACUCGUGAGAGACUGCCGGGGUCAACUCGGAGGAAGGUGGGGAUGACGUCAAGUCAUCAUGCCCCUUAUGUCCAGGGCUUCACACAUGCUACAAUGGCCGGUACAAAGGGCUGCGAUGCCGUGAGGUGGAGCGAAUCCUUUCAAAGCCGGUCUCAGUUCGGAUCGGGGUCUGCAACUCGACCCCGUGAAGUCGGAGUCGCUAGUAAUCGCAGAUCAGCAACGCUGCGGUGAAUACGUUCCCGGGCCU